UUAUCCGAAACGUCGGUUCGUACAAGAUCUAAACGGCGCCACAUCCCAGAAUGCGGCAUUCUUCAACAAUUACGCUGUUCAACAGUAAUUUUACAGAUCUUCCAAAAACUGUGGGUCUCUAUAUUCGGACAUAGAUGAUGCCACAGUUAAAAAUACUAGCUCUAUCAUUCUUGACCUCGGCAGUAAUGGAGGUGAGUGUUCAGCUUCACGUUCCUGCCGCUUUACAACCGGAGAAGAAACCUCCUGUACCCAAUGGAUGAGAGGCUGGGUGGGCCUCAUAUUCGGUCUAGUCGCUGCAGGAAAGAGAAGUAUCUCUUCCACUGUCGGGAAUCGAACCCCAGUUGUCCAGCCAGUAUCCCACCGACUGAGCUCUCAUGGCUUCCGAUAAACAAGAAGGAACAAAAUAUAAUUGUAAGCUACAGCUGGACUAAGCGAAGUGUACACUGAAGACGGACAGGAGUUCACAUGGUCCGCAAGUUCGUACAAUGGGUGUCCUGGCGAGCGUCUUAUACAAUGAGCACCGGAGGAUCUUUCCCAGGGAGUAAAGCGGCCGAGGCGUGAGGCUAAUCAUUCACCUGCAUCUAGUGCUGAGGUCAA